rnacentral:rRNA from 1 species
UACUACAAGCGCUAGCUUAAAACCCAAAGGACUUGGCGGUAUCCCACACCCACCUAGAGGAGCCUGUUCUAUAACCGAUAAUCCCCGUUCAACCUCACCACUUCUUGCCAUUACCGUCUAUAUACCGCCGUCGUCAGCCCACCCUGUGAAGGACCAAAAGUAAGCAAAAAGAAUAAAACUCCAAAACGUCAGGUCGAGGUGUAGCAAAUGAAGUGGGAAGAAAUGGGCUACAUUUUUUCCCAAAAAUAUACGAAUGAUAAACUGAAAACAUACCUAAAGGUGGAUUUAGCAGUAAGAGAAGAUCAGAAUACUUCUCUGAAAUCGGCUCUGGGAUAAGCACACACCGCCCGUCACUCUCCUCAAAAAUAACUCACCAUUUCCAUAAAUACAUUCCUUCAACAAGAGGAGGCAAGUCGUAACAUGGUAAGUGUACUGGAAAGUGCACUUGGAAUCAAAA